rnacentral:rRNA from 1 species
AGUGAACGCUGGCGGUAGGCCUAACACAUGCAAGUCGAACGGCAGCACAGUAAGAGCUUGCUCUUACGGGUGGCGAGUGGCGGACGGGUGAGGAAUACAUCGGAAUCUACUUUUUCGUGGGGGAUCACGUAGGGAAACUUACGCUAAUACCGCAUACGACCUACGGGUGAAAGCAGGGGAUCUUCGGACCUUGCGCGAUUGAAUGAGCCGAUGUCGGUUUAGCUAGUUGGCGGGGUAAAGGCCCACCAAGGCGACGAUCCGUAGCUGGUCUGAGAGGAGGAUCAGCCACACUGGAACUGAGACACGGUCCAGACUCCUACGGGAGGCAGCAGUGGGGAAUAUUGGACAAUGGGCGCAAGCCUGAUCCAGCCAUACCGCGUGGGUGAAGAAGGCCUUCGGGUUGUAAAGCCCUUUUGUUGGGAAAGAAAAGCAGCAGGUUAAUACCCCGCUGUUCUGACGGUACCCAAAGAAUAAGCACCGGCUAACUUCGUG